GACGAACGCUGUUGGCGUGCUUAACACAUGCAAGUCGAACGGAAAGGCCCUGCUUUUGUGGGGUGCUCGAGUGGCGAACGGGUGAGUAACACGUGAGUAACCUGCCCUUGACUUUGGGAUAACUUCAGGAAACUGGGGCUAAUACCGGAUAGGAGCUCCUGCUGCAUGGUGGGGGUUGGAAAGUUUCGGCGGUUGGGGAUGGACUCGCGGCUUAUCAGCUUGUUGGUGGGGUAGUGGCUUACCAAGGCUUUGACGGGUAGCCGGCCUGAGAGGGUGACCGGCCACAUUGGGACUGAGAUACGGCCCAGACUCCUACGGGAGGCAGCAGUGGGGAAUAUUGCACAAUGGGCGGAAGCCUGAUGCAGCAACGCCGCGUGCGGGAUGACGGCCUUCGGGUUGUAAACCGCUUUCGCCUGUGACGAAGCGUGAGUGACGGUAAUGGGUAAAGAAGCACCGGCUAACUACGUGCCAGCAGCCGCGGUGAUACGUAGGGUGCGAGCGUUGUCCGGAUUUAUUGGGCGUAAAGGGCUCGUAGGUGGUUGAUCGCGUCGGAAGUGUAAUCUUGGGGCUUAACCCUGAGCGUGCUUUCGAUACGGGUUGACUUGAGGAAGAUAGGGGAGAAUGGAAUUCCUGGUGGAGCGGUGGAAUGCGCAGAUAUCAGGAGGAACACCAGUGGCGAAGGCGGUUCUCUGGGCCUUUCCUGACGCUGAGGAGCGAAAGCGUGGGGAGCGAACAGGCUUAGAUACCCUGGUAGUCCACGCUGUAAACGGUGGGUACUAGGUGUGGGGUCCAUUCCACGGGUUCCGUGCCGUAGCUAACGCUUUAAGUACCCCGCCUGGGGAGUACGGCCGCAAGGCUAAAACUCAAAGGAAUUGACGGGGCCCCGCACAAGCGGCGGAGCAUGCGGAUUAAUUCGAUGCAACGCGUAGAACCUUACCUGGGUUUGACAUGGAUCGGGAGUGCUCAGAGAUGGGUGUGCCUCUUUUGGGGUCGGUUCACAGGUGGUGCAUGCCUGUCGUCAGCUCGUGUCGUGAGAUGUUGGGUUAAGUCCCGCAACGAGCGCAACCCUUGUUCACUGUUGCCAGCACGUUAUGGUGGGGACUCAGUGGAGACCGCCGGGGUCAACUCGGAGGAAGGUGGGGAUGACGUCAAGUCAUCAUGCCCCUUAUGUCCAGGGCUUCACGCAUGCUACAAUGGCUGGUACAGAGAGUGGCGAGCCUGUGAGGGUGAGCGAAUCUCGGAAAGCCGGUCUCAGUUCGGAUUGGGGUCUGCAACUCGACCUCAUGAAGUCGGAGUCGCUAGUAAUCGCAGAUCAGCAACGCUGCGGUGAAUACGUUCCCGGGGCU
rnacentral:rRNA from 1 species